rnacentral:lncRNA from 1 species
AUGGGAGGGCAUUCAAGAAGGAACAGCUUCUGCGGAGCUGCAAGUUCUGAUUCCGAACGACGGCAUUAUCCGAGGGGAACUCCUGGCUCAGACUUGAUGAAUCACCAGGCUGGAGUCCUGAUUCUUGAGGCCACAGCCACAGGCUCAAUGAUGGAAGCAGAGACCAGCUCCCCACCAGACACCAAACCUGCCGACCCCUCAGCCUUGGACUUCCUGCCUCCAGAACUGUGAGAAAUAAAUUUCUGCUCUUCAUAAGUUACCCA